GCUAGCGCCCUGCCCGGCGCCGCCUCCCUCGGCGUGCUCGCCCCGCGGACCGGCAGGCGGCGGACCGGCAGGCGGAGGACCGCGGCCCCAGGUGGUGGAGAGUUGGGGAGAAUCCAGAGGACAUAUCGUUGUAAUCAUUUCGUCCUUUACCUUCUUACUGCCAAGGCCGCUGUGAAAGGCCCUGCCUCUGCUGUGAAGUAACAGUUUGUGGCCAGACAAGUCCAGAACCAAGACGUUGUCAUCACAGGGGACACGGGUUCGAGCCCUGGUCUGGGAGGAUCCCACGUGCCGCGGAGCAGCUAGUUCCGUGAGCCACAACUACUGAGCCUGCGCGUCUGGAGCCUGUGCUCCGCAACAAGAGAGGCCGCGAUAGUGAGAGGCCCGCGCACCGCGAUGAAGAGUGGCCCCCGCUUGCUGCAACCAGAGAAAGCCCUCUCACAGAAAUGAAGACCCAACACAGCCAAAAAUAAAUAAAUUAAAAAAAAAAAGUGGUGGCUUAUGUGAAGAUUCUUUGUAACAAGUAAAAAGGCAUACUUAGCCCAGGCAGUGUCUUAAAGAAGCACACCUUGUACUGCCUGCCUCUCCCUGAGCCGGAUCUGGUAACUGUGUUACUUUUGCUCUGACCCUUUAGUGAUUUUUCAAAAGCUUUUGGAAAGAAGCACAUCCCCCACCCCAAAUAUAUACUUCUUCUUUUCAUUUUUGAGUAGGUAAUCGAGAGUCCUACACCAGUAAGAACAAAACUGUCCUGAGUGGUUUUUGUUUUCUCUUCACAUGGAUAGGCCCUCAGGUUUACUUAUUUAUUUAUUUUUGGCUGCGUUGGGUCUUCGUUGCUGCGCGUGGGCUUUCUCUACUUGCGGCAAGCGGGGGCUACUCUUCAUUGCGGUGCGCGGGCUUCUCACUGCGGUGGCUUCUCUUGUUGUGGAGCACGGGCUCAGUAGUUGUGGCAUGCGGGCUCUAGAGCGCAGGCUCAGUAGUUGUGGCGCACGGGCUUAGUUGCUCUGCGGCAUGUGGGAUCUUCCCGGACCAGGGCUCGAACCCAUGUCCCCUGCAUUGGCAGGCAGGUUCUUAACCACGGCACCACCUGAGAAGUCCCUGCCCUCAGGUUUUGAUGGUGAUAUAUUUUGCAUUUGUCCUUACUCCGGUAUCCCCAGACCAUGAAAACAACUGUUCCUCAUCCUUGGAGGGUCUGCGGAGAUGCUGGCUGGGUGAAAUCUUCCCCCACCAGGGCUGCUCCAGGGUGAUGCCCUACCUCACUUUCCCCGCCGAGUCCACCUUGAUGAGAACGGAGUAUGUGUUAAUCAGUUCUGCCCAGCUGGUCCUAUAUACCGAGUAGGCCCUCCACAUCUGCAGGUUCUGUAUCCACCAGUUCAACCAACCGUGGAUUGAAAAUAUUCGGGAAAAAAAAUUCCAGAAAGUUCCAGAAAACAAAACUUGAAUUUACCACGUGCCAUAAGUAUUUACAUAGCAUUUACAUUGUAUUCACAACUAUUUACAUUGCAUGUAUGUUCAUUGAACAAAUAAGAGAUGAACAGAAUUUAAUUCAACAAGAAUUUAUCGCCUUUUUUUCUUUUUACAGUACUCAGAUGUGGGUGGGAGCUGGCUGGGGGGCACUUAGAAGUACAGCAGGGGGCCUACCCACCGCAAGAGGGUUUCCCCUUGGCAUUUGGCAGUUUCCCUCAAACCUCAGAUGGCGAGAGCCCAUCCUUCCUUCAGCACUAGACCAGUGUGUUCCUGCACGCCAUGCUGGCCUCCCACACGUGGCUCCCAUGGCAUAGGUGUUAUAAAGGUGGCAGCUGCAGUUCAAAUUAUUCUGUUUAUAAUUAUCACUAGAUUUGGGAUAUGUUAAACAUUAAACAGACUUUUUAUGAGAUGGCCUGAGCAUCUAAUUAAAUAAAAUGCUCUUUCUUUCUGCAAGAUCAUGGAUUCUAAUUCCAAACAACUGACUCAGAAGGAAAGAGGCUGUGUUUAAACAUCUGGGAGUUGGGAAGUGUUUCUGUUUAACGGGGCAAGGGUCCUGCCGGCCCUCCAGUUGUGGAGAUAAGAUAGGCACAGGAGAAGUUAGUGAAAGCAUUGGAGAGGUUUAAGUCUUCUGUGUUCCAGACGCA